UACGAAGGCUUCAAGCGUUAUCCGGAUUUAUUGGGCGUAAAGAGUGCGCAGGUGGUCUCGCACGUCUCAUGUAAAAUGUCACUGCUUAACAGUGUCACCGCGUGGGAUACGACGAGACUAGAGCAUGUGAGAGGUGAUUAGAAUUCACGGUGUAGGGGUGAAAUCCGUUGAUAUCGUGGAGAAUACCAAAGGCGAAGGCAUAUCACUGGCACAUUGCUGACACUCAUGCACGAAAGCGUGGGGAGCAAAAAGG
rnacentral:rRNA from 1 species